rnacentral:rRNA from 1 species
UACGUAGGGGGCAAGCGUUGUCCGGAAUUACUGGGCGUAAAGCGUGCGCAGGCGGUUUUGCAAGCCGGAUGUGAAAUCCCCGGGCUCAACCUGGGAAUGGCAUUUGGGACUGCAAGGCUCGAGUGCGGCAGAGGAGACUGGAAUUCCUGGUGUAGCAGUGAAAUGCGUAGAUAUCAGGAGGAAUACCGAUGGCGAAGGCAGGUCUCUGGGCUGACACUGACGCUCAUGCACGAAAGCGUGGGGAGCAAACAGG